UACGUAGGGACCAAGCGUUGUCCGGAAUCAUUGGGCGUAAAGAGCGCGUAGGCGGCUCGUUAAGUGUGAAGCUAAAUCUCUUGGCUCAACCUCGGGUCUGCAGUCGAUACGGGCAAACUAGAGUAUUGCAGGGGAGACUGGAAUUCCUGGUGUAGCGGUGAAAUGCGCAGAUAUCAGGAGGAACACCGGUGGCGAAGGCGGGUCUCUGGGCAAUAACUGACGCUGAGGAGCGAAAGCGUGGGGAGCGAACAGG
rnacentral:rRNA from 1 species